ACCCCCAGCUCACACACGUUCCUCCCUCCUGCUGCCUCCCCUGGAUGGGUUCUCAGCUGCUCACUCCCCACACACUGGCACCCCACGACCCAUGAUCUCCUCUACCCUCUGUCUGGGUGCAAAUGGAUGAGUCAGCCAGGAAGAUUCACAUCCCACUCUAAGUCACCCUCCACCCUCUGCAGGGGCCUGGGUGUGGGUGCAGAGAAGGUGGGUCCAGUGCACACCCCGUGGUGUCUCAGAGCAGGUGACGAGACAGUGCCAGAGCACUAGCCCAGACUGCCUGGUCCUUGUGUGAUGUGGCCAGAUGGUUCUGAGCACUGUGGAGAGGGAAUAAAAUGACAAAGUGCUAAGGGAAACUGGAGCCACAGGGCUGCACUGUCCAGUCGAUACACGAAUCCAAAGGAAAGAAACACAAACACUGGAGUCAGCACAGAUACGCAGCCUGCUUCCCACAGGACCGCAGGAAGAGCUCAUUCAGAGAGUCAGACACAUCCUGGACUCUCCUGGUGCAGAAAGAAGACCCGGAGUGGGUCAGUCAGUCCCUGGUGCAGGAGGCCUGGGGGACAGCUGAGCAGCCACAGGAAAGAACUCUGGGAGCUCACACGCGGUCCUCUGCCAGAGGAGUAAGAGAAGGGCUCCCCCCUCACCAGUGAGGAAGCUCUCAGCAGGAUUCAGGUGAAGGCUGUAACCCAAAUGAACCCCAAAUGCAUAAACCCUAACCCAGACACAGAACUGGCCUUCGCCGACUUUCUCAAUGUGCACAAAUUACACUCUGAGGGCACCUACACUGAGAUGCAAAACCGCAACCAAUGUCUACACACAGGCCCAGGGGAAGCACAGGGACCACCUCAGAGAGGGCAGCAGCCCGCCCCUGUGCCUGUGCCUCCCCGCUUCCCAGGGCUCUGCAGCUUCUCUCAGCGUAAAGGCUCCUUCUAUGCUGGUGUGAGCACGGAGGACACCGACAGGCGGAGGCUCCCCAGGAAGCAUGAGUGGGCCUUGAAGCCCUUCCCUGUGCAGGCUCCAGGGCGCAUUACCUUAGAGACCCCGACCCCAGGCCUCUGCUCCCAAUCACACGGCUUUGGACCACAGUGAUCUUGUAAGUGACACAACCCAGCGUUUGAACAAUCCAGCAAAUUCACACAAACCACGGUUUACGUGGAAAGGAGGGAAGAAAAUUGUAAAGCAUUUUUCCAGUUCAAUAAGAAAAUCCACAUAUAUUUAUUACUUUCAGAAUAUAAUGAUAUUAGUUAAUUAUGAUUUCCAUGGCAAGAAAUUGUUUUACAAUUAAUCGUACUUAACACUUCUGUUAGAGUCUAAGCCCUGGAAUUCCAUUUGCAAAUACCCAUCCCAGAGAAAAGCACAGACCUCAGAAUAUCAUUACACAUGCGCGGGGGAGAGCAGGAAAACAAGGAUUUUUAACACAUUCAAUGUAAUACUAGAAUAUUCUCUUUUUCACCUAUUUCCUACCUCUUUGGAAAUAUUUUAUACUGUCUUUCAAGCUCUAUUGAUUGCGUAAAUUUUUAUUUUUUAAAAAGCUGAGGUUCAACUAAGUGAGUAAAUCUUUUCAAGGUGACAAAGCCAGGGAGGGGCGGUGCCAACAGGGUGGAACAUUCAAGAAGGUUUGCAGAGAGGAACCUCCACCCAGAGGACUUCCCGUGGGAUGUCUGCGCCCAGGAAGAGCCCGGGAGGGGGGCACAGGGAUUUCAUACAACGUAUUGCAGGUGCUCAUUGUCUGCUCUCCUUAGACAAAAAGUAAAUCUCACAGCCAACUUAGAGAAACCAAACUCCCAACAGCUCCCCACCAAGCAGGACCUCCGCAAGUCUUCCCCAGCUGAGUUUCUGAGCUCAGGCCAGAGACUCA
rnacentral:lncRNA from 1 species